rnacentral:rRNA from 1 species
UUAAGUUAUUAAGGGCGCACGGUGGAUGCCUUGGCACUAGAAGCCGAUGAAGGACGUUACUAACGACGAUAUGCUUUGGGGAGCUGUAAGUAAGCUUUGAUCCAGAGAUUUCCGAAUGGGGAAACCCAGCAUGAGUUAUGUCAUGUUAUCGAUAUGUGAAUACAUAGCAUAUCAGAAGGCACACCCGGAGAACUGAAACAUCUUAGUAACCGGAGGAAGAGAAAGAAAAUUCGAUUCCCUUAGUAGCGGCGAGCGAAACGGGAAGAGCCCAAACCAACAAGCUUGCUUGUUGGGGUUGUAGGACACUCUAUACGGAGUUACAAAGGACGACAUUAGACGAAUCAUCUGGAAAGAUGAAUCAAAGAAGGUAAUAAUCCUGUAGUCGAAAAUGUUGUCUCUCUUGAGUGGAUCCUGAGUACGACGGAGCACGUGAAAUUCCGUCGGAAUUUGGGAGGACCAUCUCCUAAGGCUAAAUACUCUCUAGUGACCGAUAGCGAACCAGUACCGUGAGGGAAAGGUGAAAAGCACCCCGGAAGGGGAGUGAAAUAGAACCUGAAACCGUGUGCUUACAAGUAGUCAGAGCCCGUUAAUGGGUGAUGGCGUGCCUUUUGUAGAAUGAACCGGCGAGUUACGAUUUGAUGCAAGGUUAAGCAGUAAAUGUGGAGCCGUAGCGAAAGCGAGUCUGAAUAGGGCGUUUAGUAUUUGGUCGUAGACCCGAAACCAGGUGAUCUACCCUUGGUCAGGUUGAAGUUCAGGUAACACUGAAUGGAGGACCGAACCGACUUACGUUGAAAAGUGAGCGGAUGAACUGAGGGUAGCGGAGAAAUUCCAAUCGAACCUGGAGAUAGCUGGUUCUCUCCGAAAUAGCUUUAGGGCUAGCCUCAAGUGAUGAUUAUUGGAGGUAGAGCACUGUUUGGACGAGGGGCCCCUCUCGGGUUACCGAAUUCAGACAAACUCCGAAUGCCAAUUAAUUUAACUUGGGAGUCAGAACAUGGGUGAUAAGGUCCGUGUUCGAAAGGGAAACAGCCCAGACCACCAGCUAAGGUCCCAAAAUAUAUGUUAAGUGGAAAAGGAUGUGGCGUUGCCCAGACAACUAGGAUGUUGGCUUAGAAGCAGCCAUCAUUUAAAGAGUGCGUAAUAGCUCACUAGUCGAGUGACACUGCGCCGAAAAUGUACCGGGGCUAAACAUAUUACCGAAGCUGUGGAUUGUCCUUUGGACAAUGGUAGGAGAGCGUUCUAAGGGCGUUGAAGCAUGAUCGUAAGGACAUGUGGAGCGCUUAGAAGUGAGAAUGCCGGUGUGAGUAGCGAAAGACGGGUGAGAAUCCCGUCCACCGAUUGACUAAGGUUUCCAGAGGAAGGCUCGUCCGCUCUGGGUUAGUCGGGUCCUAAGCUGAGGCCGACAGGCGUAGGCGAUGGAUAACAGGUUGAUAUUCCUGUACCACCUAUAAUCGUUUUAAUCGAUGGGGGGACGCAGUAGGAUAGGCGAAGCGUGCGAUUGGAUUGCACGUCUAAGCAGUAAGGCUGAGUAUUAGGCAAAUCCGGUACUCAUUAAGGCUGAGCUGUGAUGGGGAGAAGACAUUGUGUCUUCGAGUCGUUGAUUUCACACUGCCGAGAAAAGCCUCUAGAUAGAAAAUAGGUGCCCGUACCGCAAACCGACACAGGUAGUCAAGAUGAGAAUUCUAAGGUGAGCGAGCGAACUCUCGUUAAGGAACUCGGCAAAAUGACCCCGUAACUUCGGGAAAAGGGGUGCUCUUUAGGGUUAACGCCCAGAAGAGCCGCAGUGAAUAGGCCCAAGCGACUGUUUAUCAAAAACACAGGUCUCUGCUAAACCGUAAGGUGAUGUAUAGGGGCUGACGCCUGCCCGGUGCUGGAAGGUUAAGAGGAGUGGUUAGCUUCUGCGAAGCUACGAAUCGAAGCCCCAGUAAACGGCGGCCGUAACUAUAACGGUCCUAAGGUAGCGAAAUUCCUUGUCGGGUAAGUUCCGACCCGCACGAAAGGCGUAACGAUUUGGGCACUGUCUCAACGAGAGACUCGGUGAAAUCAUAGUACCUGUGAAGAUGCAGGUUACCCGCGACAGGACGGAAAGACCCCGUGGAGCUUUACUGUAGCCUGAUAUUGAAAUUCGGCACAGCUUGUACAGGAUAGGUAGGAGCCUUUGAAACGUGAGCGCUAGCUUACGUGGAGGCGCUGGUGGGAUACUACCCUAGCUGUGUUGGCUUUCUAACCCGCACCACUUAUCGUGGUGGGAGACAGUGUCAGGCGGGCAGUUUGACUGGGGCGGUCGCCUCCUAAAAGGUAACGGAGGCGCUCAAAGGUUCCCUCAGAAUGGUUGGAAAUCAUUCAUAGAGUGUAAAGGCAUAAGGGAGCUUGACUGCGAGACCUACAAGUCGAGCAGGGUCGAAAGACGGACUUAGUGAUCCGGUGGUUCCGCAUGGAAGGGCCAUCGCUCAACGGAUAAAAGCUACCCCGGGGAUAACAGGCUUAUCUCCCCCAAGAGUUCACAUCGACGGGGAGGUUUGGCACCUCGAUGUCGGCUCAUCGCAUCCUGGGGCUGUAGUCGGUCCCAAGGGUUGGGCUGUUCGCCCAUUAAAGCGGUACGCGAGCUGGGUUCAGAACGUCGUGAGACAGUUCGGUCCCUAUCCGUCGUGGGCGUAGGAAAUUUGAGAGGAGCUGUCCUUAGUACGAGAGGACCGGGAUGGACAUACCUCUGGUGUACCAGUUGUCGUGCCAACGGCAUAGCUGGGUAGCUAUGUGUGGACGGGAUAAGUGCUGAAAGCAUCUAAGCAUGAAGCCCCCCUCAAGAUGAGAUUUCCCAACUUCGGUUAUAAGAUCCCUCAAAGAUGAUGAGGUUAAUAGGUUCGAGGUGGAAGCAUGGUGACAUGUGGAGCUGACGAAUACUAAUCGAUCGAAGACUUAAUCAA